GGCCAGAUAGCUAAGUUGGUAAAGCACCUGACUAGGGAUUUAGGGGACCCGGGUUCGAAUCUCGGUCUGGUCC